rnacentral:rRNA from 1 species
UUAAGCGACUAAGCGUACACGGUGGAUGCCCUGGCAGUCAGAGGCGAUGAAGGACGUGCUAAUCUGCGAUAAGCGUCGGUAAGGUGAUAUGAACCGUUAUAACCGGCGAUUUCCGAAUGGGGAAACCCAGUGUGAUUCGUCACACUAUCAUUAACUGAAUCCAUAGGUUAAUGAGGCGAACCGGGGGAACUGAAACAUCUAAGUACCCCGAGGAAAAGAAAUCAACCGAGAUUCCCCCAGUAGCGGCGAGCGAACGGGUAGCAGCCCAGAGCCUGAAUCAGUGUGUGUGUUAGUGGAAGCGUCUGGAAAGGCGCGCGAUACAGGGUGACAGCCCCGUACACAAAAAUGCACAUGCUGUGAGCUCGAUGAGUAGGGCGGGACACGUGGUAUCCUGUCUGAAUAUGGGGGGACCAUCCUCCAAGGCUAAAUACUCCUGACUGACCGAUAGUGAACCAGUACCGUGAGGGAAAGGCGAAAAGAACCCCGGCGAGGGGAGUGAAAAAGAACCUGAAACCGUGUACGUAACAAGCAGUGGGAGCACAGAGCAAUCUGUGUGACUGCGUACCUUUUGUAUAAUGGGUCAGCGACUUAUAUUCUGUAGCAAGGUUAACCGAAUAGGGGAGCCGAAGGGAAACCGAGUCUUAACUGGGCGUUAAGUUGCAGGGUAUAGACCCGAAACCCGGUGAUCUAGCCAUGGGCAGGUUGAAGGUUGGGUAACACUAACUGGAGGACCGAACCGACUAAUGUUGAAAAAUUAGCGGAUGACUUGUGGCUGGGGGUGAAAGGCCAAUCAAACCGGGAGAUAGCUGGUUCUCCCCGAAAGCUAUUUAGGUAGCGCCUCGUGAAUUCAUCUCCGGGGGUAGAGCACUGUUUCGGCAAGGGGGUCAUCCCGACUUACCAACCCGAUGCAAACUGCGAAUACCGGAGAAUGUUAUCACGGGAGACACACGGCGGGUGCUAACGUCCGUCGUGAAGAGGGAAACAACCCAGACCGCCAGCUAAGGUCCCAAAGUCAUGGUUAAGUGGGAAACGAUGUGGGAAGGCCCAGACAGCCAGGAUGUUGGCUUAGAAGCAGCCAUCAUUUAAAGAAAGCGUAAUAGCUCACUGGUCGAGUCGGCCUGCGCGGAAGAUGUAACGGGGCUAAACCAUGCACCGAAGCUGCGGCAGCGACGCUUAUGCGUUGUUGGGUAGGGGAGCGUUCUGUAAGCCUGCGAAGGUGUGCUGUGAGGCAUGCUGGAGGUAUCAGAAGUGCGAAUGCUGACAUAAGUAACGAUAAAGCGGGUGAAAAGCCCGCUCGCCGGAAGACCAAGGGUUCCUGUCCAACGUUAAUCGGGGCAGGGUGAGUCGACCCCUAAGGCGAGGCCGAAAGGCGUAGUCGAUGGGAAACAGGUUAAUAUUCCUGUACUUGGUGUUACUGCGAAGGGGGGACGGAGAAGGCUAUGUUGGCCGGGCGACGGUUGUCCCGGUUUAAGCGUGUAGGCUGGUUUUCCAGGCAAAUCCGGAAAAUCAAGGCUGAGGCGUGAUGACGAGGCACUACGGUGCUGAAGCAACAAAUGCCCUGCUUCCAGGAAAAGCCUCUAAGCAUCAGGUAACAUCAAAUCGUACCCCAAACCGACACAGGUGGUCAGGUAGAGAAUACCAAGGCGCUUGAGAGAACUCGGGUGAAGGAACUAGGCAAAAUGGUGCCGUAACUUCGGGAGAAGGCACGCUGAUAUGUAGGUGAAGUCCCUCGCGGAUGGAGCUGAAAUCAGUCGAAGAUACCAGCUGGCUGCAACUGUUUAUUAAAAACACAGCACUGUGCAAACACGAAAGUGGACGUAUACGGUGUGACGCCUGCCCGGUGCCGGAAGGUUAAUUGAUGGGGUCAGCGCAAGCGAAGCUCUUGAUCGAAGCCCCGGUAAACGGCGGCCGUAACUAUAACGGUCCUAAGGUAGCGAAAUUCCUUGUCGGGUAAGUUCCGACCUGCACGAAUGGCGUAAUGAUGGCCAGGCUGUCUCCACCCGAGACUCAGUGAAAUUGAACUCGCUGUGAAGAUGCAGUGUACCCGCGGCAAGACGGAAAGACCCCGUGAACCUUUACUAUAGCUUGACACUGAACAUUGAGCCUUGAUGUGUAGGAUAGGUGGGAGGCUUUGAAGUGUGGACGCCAGUCUGCAUGGAGCCGGCCUUGAAAUACCACCCUUUAAUGUUUGAUGUUCUAACGUUGACCCGUAAUCCGGGUUGCGGACAGUGUCUGGUGGGUAGUUUGACUGGGGCGGUCUCCUCCUAAAGAGUAACGGAGGAGCACGAAGGUUGGCUAAUCCUGGUCGGACAUCAGGAGGUUAGUGCAAUGGCAUAAGCCAGCUUGACUGCGAGCGUGACGGCGCGAGCAGGUGCGAAAGCAGGUCAUAGUGAUCCGGUGGUUCUGAAUGGAAGGGCCAUCGCUCAACGGAUAAAAGGUACUCCGGGGAUAACAGGCUGAUACCGCCCAAGAGUUCAUAUCGACGGCGGUGUUUGGCACCUCGAUGUCGGCUCAUCACAUCCUGGGGCUGAAGUAGGUCCCAAGGGUAUGGCUGUUCGCCAUUUAAAGUGGUACGCGAGCUGGGUUUAGAACGUCGUGAGACAGUUCGGUCCCUAUCUGCCGUGGGCGCUGGAGAACUGAGGGGGGCUGCUCCUAGUACGAGAGGACCGGAGUGGACGCAUCACUGGUGUUCGGGUUGUCAUGCCAAUGGCACUGCCCGGUAGCUAAAUGCGGAAGAGAUAAGUGCUGAAAGCAUCUAAGCACGAAACUUGCCCCGAGAUGAGUUCUCCCUGACUCCUUGAGAGUCCUGAAGGAACGUUGAAGACGACGACGUUGAUAGGCCGGGUGUGUAAGCGCAGCGAUGCGUUGAGCUAACCGGUACUAAUGAACCGUGAGGCUUAACCUU